AUACACGCAGGAUGAAUGGACUGAUAUUAACAACAUCUGGAUAGAAUGACUGGAUUAUAGCCUAAAUUGUUUGUAAAUGGCUUUUCACCUUUUAUUAGUACAAUGACUAUCGCAUCCGGAAGAACCACGAGCUUUAGCACGACAUUGAUAUUUAGCGAGUUGAAAUCCAUCGGUUUUGCCAGCUUUGUUAUGUCGAGAGAAUGGACGAAGAUGCUCCAGCGAAGAAAGUAUUUGAAGAGGUAGUUAGAAGAAGAAGACGACCAUGUCUUCACUAGAGUGAUUACGUUGAAGAAACACUGACUGCACUUUGAUAUACGACACUGGAGAAAGUGCGCACGUAGCACAUGCGUUUGAAGGGACAUUUUGCGUCAAGCCGAAAGCAGUUAAUGGGUUAUUAUGGCCCAAUAAUUAAGCAAGUACAUCAUAGCAUGAAUAUCCAUACUUAUCCUUACAGUUCACAUUGGUUUCAAAUGAUUUGAUCAGGAAACAAGCAAAGGAGGUGAAUGGUAAAGAUGUGAGAAGUGGUUGCACAACCUACUAAAAGGAACCGAAAGAAAAACAUCCGCAAUAUCAGAAAUCUUCAAUUGAAUUAAGAUGUGAGCACUAUUUAAUGGAAGCUAUAGGCAGAGAGAACAAGAAAAAUAAAGAGUUGAACAGUUUCUUUGCAAAUAUUCAGGCAUGGAAAGUUUUGGACAUUCCAUUGGGGAAAUUUGCAAACUAAUUAGCCUGUGAGCAUCUCAUAUAUCGAUCUUCACAAAAAAUCCCUCUUUUAUUAACUGUGCUGGUAUAUUUCAGAACUAAGACUUCUAUCAAAAUGGCGCCUAGCCGCUACUUGAACAGAAGAGGUAGCUUAAUGUCAUUUUAAUUAAUAAGAGAAUUUAUAUAUUUUGUUACACAUUGAGAUAUGACUUUUACAAAGACUUAUUGAACG